CCAGUGAAUCUAAGGGGGUGACGAGAUUUGAACACACUUGUGAUUGUGAAAGUUAUUCUAUUUUUUGUUGCCUGAAUCUUCUGGUUUAUAUUGACAGGGUUAUAAUUGUUGACGGUCCUUAAGUAUCAAAUAUAAUCAACAAAUAAACAAAGAAAAGGAUCGAAAUGCAACUGACACCCAGACUUAGGGUUUUAUCUGACAGAAUUCUACGAGUUUUGGUGUUUGUCUAUUUCUGCAGGGGGUUAUCAGGAAAUACGAAGGAAAGGCCCACAUGUCGGGUUUACAUAGAGAUAUUAACGUGCC
rnacentral:lncRNA from 1 species